rnacentral:rRNA from 1 species
UGACCCGUCCUGAAGCACGGACCAAGGAGUCUAACAUGUACGCAAGUCAUUGGGAAUGUUAAACCCAAAGGCAUAAUGAAAGUGAAGAUCCAUAUUGUGGAUUUGAGGAGAGAUCAUGGUUCUAUUUGACAUUCCGUAAGGUUUGUUGGAUAUGGAUAUGCGCAUCUCCUGGACGUCUAAACUUCUGAAAGUUGGGCGUACCUAGAGCGUACACGUUGGGACCCGAAAGAUGGUGAACUAUGCCUGGUCAGGACGAAGUCAGGGGAAACCCUGAUGGAGGUUCGUAGAGAUUCUGACGUGCAAAUCGAUCUUCGGAACUGGGUAUAGGGGCGAAAGACUAAUCGAACCAUCUAGUAGCUGGUUCCCUCCGAAGUUUCCCUCAGGAUAGCUGGCGCUUGUACCAGUCUCAUCCGGUAAAGCGAAUGAUUAGAGGCCUUGGGGCCGAAACGACCUCAACCUAUUCUCAAACUUUAAAUGGGUGAGAAGUCAGG